UUACCGAGUGAGGGCCCUCUGGGUCCAACCUCCCACCCGUGUUUAUUUACCUUGUUGCUUCGGCGAGCCUGCCUUUUGGCUGCCGGGGGACGUCAGUCCCCGGGUCCGUGCUCGCCGGAGACACCUUAGAACUCUGUCUGAAGAUUGUAGUCUGAGAUUAAAUAUAAAUUAUUUAAAACUUUCAACAACGGAUCUCUUGGUUCCGGCAUCGAUGAAGAACGCAGCGAAAUGCGAUACGUAAUGUGAAUUGCAGAAUUCAGUGAAUCAUCGAGUCUUUGAACGCACAUUGCGCCCUCUGGUAUUCCGGAGGGCAUGCCUGUCCGAGCGUCAUUGCUGCCCUCAAGCACGGCUUGUGUGUUGGGCCCCGUCCUCCUUCCGGGGGACGGGUCCGAAAGGCAGCGGCGGCACCGCGUCCGGUCCUCAAGCGUAUGGGGCUUUGUCACUCGCUUUGUAGGCCUGGCCGGCGCUUGCCGAUCAACCAAACUUUUUAUCAGGUUGACCUCGGAUCAGGUAGGGAUACCCGCUGAACUUAAGCAUAUCAAUAAGCGGAGGAAAAGAAACCAACAGGGAUUACCUCAGUAACGGCGAGUGAAGCGGUAAGAGCUCAAAUUUGAAAGCUGGCUCCUUCGGGGUCCGCAUUGUAAUUUGCAGAGGAUGCUUCGGGAGCGGUCCCCAUCUAAGUGCCCUGGAACGGGACGUCAUAGAGGGUGAGAAUCCCGUAUGGGAUGGGGUGUCCGCGCCCGUGUGAAGCUCCUUCGACGAGUCGAGUUGUUUGGGAAUGCAGCUCUAAAUGGGUGGUAAAUUUCAUCUAAAGCUAAAUAUUGGCCGGAGACCGAUAGCGCACAAGUAGAGUGAUCGAAAGAUGAAAAGCACUUUGAAAAGAGAGUUAAAAAGCACGUGAAAUUGUUGAAAGGGAAGCGCUUGCGACCAGACUCGCUCGCGGGGUUCAGCCGGCAUUCGUGCCGGUGUACUUCCCCGCGAGCGGGCCAACGUCGGUUUGGGCGGUCAGUCAAAGGCCCCUGGAA
rnacentral:rRNA from 1 species